AAGUACAAAACAAGUAGAUAUAUAGGUAAUCAAGUAUAUACAUAUAUUCUCAUAGAUGAACUGUAUAAUGGAGACUAGCAUAUCAGGAAGUGAAGAUA